rnacentral:rRNA from 1 species
AUGAAGAAAAUCGCUGGGUGGAAGGCUCGAUGGAUAUCUACUCCUGGGCGUGUCACUCUUGUAAGAUUUGUGCUCUCCGCCAUGCCCAUCUUCCAGUUGCUGGCAGUGGAACAACCCAAAUGGGUUUUCAAGCAGAUUGAUAGAUUGCGGAGGGCUUUCUUAUGGGCUGGUUCAGACUCGGUCAGUGGAGGCAAAUGUUUAGUGAGGUGGUCUCUGGUUUGCUCUUCCCUGGAGCUUGGUGGUCUGGGAAUUCAUGACAUAUACAGACAAAGCAGGCUUUGA